UUGUCCUUAGUUACCAGCACGUUAUGGUGGGCACUCUAAGGAGACUGCCGGUGACAAACCGGAGGAAGGUGGGGAUGACGUCAAGUCAUCAUGGCCCUUACGGCCUGGGCUACACACGUGCUACAAUGGUCGGUACAAAGGGUUGCCAAGCCGCGAGGUGGAGCUAAUCCCAUAAAACCGAUCGUAGUCCGGAUCGCAGUCUGCAACUCGACUGCGUGAAGUCGGAAUCGCUAGUAAUCGUGAAUCAGAAUGUCACGGUGAAUACGUUCCCGGGCCUU
rnacentral:rRNA from 1 species